UUAGAACUGAAGCUUCUUGAUUUAGAUCGCUGAUGUCCCGCGUCCGAUGAAGUUAUGACAUGCUUCUUUUCUGGAGAUCCUGAAGAAAACCCGAUUGCAGCAGCUAGCCUUCUUGACCAAGAUGGUUUCCUUUUGUCUGUUAACGCAGUUGAUGGACGGACUGGUAGUUUACUGGAAGAUCCAGAAAACGAAGAAAACCUCUUUUUAGAAUUAGGAAGAGUGACCUCCAAAUUAACAGAAUUUCUUGCAGCGUUAUGUGGAACACGCUUCUUUUCUAUAAUACUAUUUUUUGGUUCUUCUAUCGGUACAACAGCUGAAGAUGAGGGAUGGGAUUCAAUGGGAACAAAUUCGCUGCUCGAAGAAAUAGCUGGCUGCAUGGACAGCUUCUGUAACAUAUUUAGUCUUUCUUCCAGACGAAUAAC